rnacentral:rRNA from 1 species
UACGUAGGUGGCGAGCGUUGCUCGGAAUCACUGGGCGUAAAGGGCGCGUAGGCGGCCAUUCAAGUCAGAGGUGAAAGCCCAAGGCUCAACCUUGGAAUUGCCUUUGAUACUGUUUGGCUUGAGACCGGAAGAGGUAAGUGGAACUGCGAGUGUAGAGGUGAAAUUCGUAGAUAUUCGCAAGAACACCAGUGGCGAAGGCGGCUUACUGGUCCGGUUCUGACGCUGAGGCGCGAAAGCGUGGGGAGCAAACAGG